rnacentral:rRNA from 1 species
GAUGAACGCUGGCGGCGUGCCUAAUACAUGCGAGUCGAGCGAACAGACGAGGAGCUUGCUCCUCUAACGUUAGCGGCGGACGGGUGAGUAACACGUGGAUAACCUACCUAUAAGACUGGGAUAACUUCGGGAAACCGGAGCUAAUACCGGAUAAUAUAUUGAACCGCAUGGUUCAAUAGUGAAAGACGGUUUUGCUGUCACUUAUAGAUGGAUCCGCGCCGCAUUAGCUAGUUGGUAAGGUAACGGCUUACCAAGGCAACGAUGCGUAGCCGACCUGAGAGGGUGAUCGGCCACACUGGAACUGAGACACGGUCCAGACUCCUACGGGAGGCAGCAGUAGGGAAUCUUCCGCAAUGGGCGAAAGCCUGACGGAGCAACGCCGCGUGAGUGAUGAAGGUCUUCGGAUCGUAAAACUCUGUUAUUAGGGAAGAACAAAUGUGUAAGUAACUAUGCACGUCUUGACGGUACCUAAUCAGAAAGCCACGGCUAACUACGUG